CAUUGCUAUUUCUCUAGAUGGUUGUUUUUAUUUCGCCAUCCGUCAUGAUAAAAACUGGCAUAACCCAGAGCCUGACUGUUUACUGUCGUUGGAUGAGUGCUUCUUAUGGUGACACACCCAUUCUAUUGAGUAAAUGCUAGGCUGCAGCAGGCUGGGGAGUUGUGACUGUCAGCAUUCCGAAAAGGGACUUAUAACAACCAUGGUGCCAUUGCAGAUAAUUGUAGGUAUUUUCGUGGUCUCAGUAGGAAUAGAUUUUUGCCAUAAAUAUUAUGGGGGUGUGUAUUCUGGUUUUCUAGAAAAUCAGGCACCUCCAGGUGUGCUGAUCUUACGAUGCCUGGAUCAUCACCUGUUGGAGAAGGGAUCCUGGCCCUCUUCUCCCACAUGUUCCUGGAAGGACCGGAUACCUUGUACAGCUGUACUCUGCCUCAUCUCUAUUCCUAAAGAGAGGAGAUGGGGUAAUAGCUAUAUAGACGGAAAAUUGUUUUCAGGAGGAGUUGGGAACAGAGCUGUAAAACUGUAAUGUCUUCCAGACCCACUUUUUUUUGGUCAUUCAGGCAAUCACAACAGACGCUUGGUAUUAUAUUCAGAGAGAGGACUUUUCUUCCCUUUUCCAAGUCCUCUCAAGAGCCCGACUUCUUUUAACAUAGCAUCUCUUCGUACUUGGCUUCUCAAGCAAGAGACUCAUCUUAACAUUUUUGUAAGUGAGCUCUCUCUAUCAUUUGUCUUCACUCAGAUUUUCUAGAUUAGCUCUUCCCUUCCAUUUAUGACAAUUUUAGAUUCUCAGAUCACAUUUUUUUCUCGUCUCUCUUCUGUCUUCAGAUUACCCAUCCAAAAUACCUUUGUUCAUACUUGAUACCUGCAUCAGUUCCCCAGGGAUAUUUUGGGUUUCCAGGUCCGUUCAAUUGCCAGAUUUUCCUACUGCUCUCUUGCCUGUCUACACGACCUGAUCAUUCGAAUCUAUUUUAGAAUUCCUUGGCUUUGUUUCAGUUUUCCUUGUCAAAUAAAGUUCCCUUUCUUAUUAUACAAGUUCUACCUCUUCACUGACUUUUUAAAGAAAACAUACGCUUGUCAUUUAGAUCCGACCUAUGUCAUUUAUGUCUGUAAAGUUAUUCUUAUUUCACUGAAUUGGUCUCCAUUUACUCACUUACUCUUUAAUUUCGCUACUGGCAUUUUUAUUGAGCAGUUUUUUUUUUUCCUUCACUCUUUAAAAAAGUUUUCAGCCCUAGCCUUCUAGAUUCUUUUUCUUGGGUAAUAUUUUCCAGUCACUUACAUGCAAGGGCAACUGGUUCUGCCACAGAACUUUUUUUUUUUUUUUGAGCUACUUAACUAACUGCAUCAACUUUAUCAUAAAAAUAUCAGCAGCCCCUGAGAGAAAAAGAACCAGUGGGAUCUCAAGGAAUAACUGACCACCGUGAUUGUGCCACGGAAUCCUCAGACACACAGCAUUUUCGUCUCGCUUUCUCACUCUUUAAGUGGCUCUUGCUUUCUGAUAUCUCACUUUUUCAAAGUUUUUCAGGCUUAUGUAAGAGCUGUCUUUUUAUUUUUCCUUUCCCUGAUAAUGUUCCAUAUGCUUUUGGAGCUACUUUUAGGCUAUUUACGUAUAUUUUGUGGCAGGUAAGGAGCUCUUUGAUGAAGUCGAUGAACUAUCAGUUGGAACAAUUAGUCAGGAAUCUUUCUUCCCUAGAGCUAUGGCAUUAGACCAGGGCUCAAAUGGGUGUGUCUGUUGUAGGUGGUGUCUGAUCUGUUCUACUCAAAGUUGUAGUAUAUUAGGAAGUAAUUCUAUAACGAAAUUGGCCAUCAGGAACAAAAUCAUGCCAUUGAAACGUUUCAGAAGUGAAACGAACCUCAGUGUUAUCACUCCCUGAUUUUAGGGUGAGGAUGCCAAGUUUUGGAGAGCUUGCUUGUCCAGACUCACUGAUGGCAAACGGGCAGAGCAGAGCAAGUAGUGCCCCCUGAGAUCUAGUGACGUUCAUUCAAAGUUCAGACGCUUAACAGCAGAUCACUUUCCAAAUUCCUGAGACAUAUUUCUCUGCUACCCCUUACCCACUUUAUCCAUUAUGAAGAAAGCUUUCUGACUUCUUCAAGGAAAAUUCUGGAUUUUUUUUUCAUGUCUGUGUUAUAACCUCACAAACAUGAGCUUUUAUCUGGUGCGGUAAUACUAUUUACUGUAAGUUUUAUUUGUUUAGUUACAGCAAUACAAUAAGGCCCAGAGCUAUUGGUUUUGUUUUCGUUUUUGUUUUGUUUGUUUGUAUGUUUGUUUGUUUUAACCUUUCUCAAAUAAGCUUUUUCAAACUUUCCUGAAUCCACUUAUCUGUAUUUCCUUCUGCUUUAGUUGCACCUUUUAGCUUUUGCCACUUCUAAUCUCCUGUAGGGGGAGGACUAUCAGGUCAAUACUAUACAUGAAAGAAUAUUUACUAAGCCUCUUAAUGAGUGCUUGGGGACAUGAUACAGGCUCUCCUAUUGCAGGAAGGGGGACCCCUUCCAGGGCCUGAGCACGGGCUCUUGUCUAACACUUGGAAAUCAAAUGUACAAAGAGACACAUGCGCUGACAAAGCAAAACUUUAUUGAGAAGGGAGCCCAAGCGGAGAGCAGCAGGGUGAGGGCACCCAGGAAGACCCUUCUGCCACGUGGCUCGCAGUCUCAGGUUUUAGGGAAUGAGGUUAGUUUCCAGGUUGUCUCUAGCCAGUUGUCUUGCUCGGCCCACCCUUGGCCUGGUUCAGGGUCCUUCUUGGUGACACAUGUACCUCUCAGCCAAGAUGGAGUCCAGCGCCAAGGAUUCUGGGAGGUUGGCCGUCUCCUCCUUGGUCCUCCUCUUAGUCUUCAGAGCAGCACCACGUUCCUUAUCAGGGCCUCCAGCUGUGCUGUGAGACACCUCGCGCAAGCAGCUAUUACUGUGCUUGGCCCACGUGGGUGCUUUCAUUCAGUGGGCCCCUAACCCGCCUGCGGGAGCAGCCCCCUUUCCUGUUUAUCUUUGAAGUGGGGACGGUGAUCUUGAGGUCGCCAAGGCAGUGGAGAAGAGGACGUUCUUCUCAUCCAAACCCACUGAGAGGGCAUGCAUAUUCACCCAUAGCACUUGGGCGAGGACAGUUCCUAUCUCUGCAUUUUGAAUCGAUGCCCCCAAUGUUAAUAUUCCAACCCACGGGCCUGGGAGAAACCUAAAAUUCCUCUCUUUCAAACAUAUUCCAGUUUAUAAUUCUGACUCCCUUCUUAGGUUCUAGGAUUUUCCUUAGGCCAACAAACCGCUCCAUUUAGAAAGGAAUGAACAGGGUAGACUCGUGUGAGAGUCAGCACGUGAGAUGUGUUCAGAAGUCCUGUGCCCUUGAUCUGGGAGGGAAAGCACCAUUUUGUCAGGGAUGCCGGCUUCCCUGGCUUCCCCUUUGCUGAGCAGGUAAAUGAAGAUGUUAGAGAGGGGCCUCCAGAGCAGCCGUGCCACCGGGCGGCUCUUUCUUUGUGAGUGGCGAAGCCCUGUUCUUCCCAAAUGUCAGAGUUCUCGGAACAAAGCAAAUGCUUUCAAUGACCUCUUCCACACACUGGCUUCUCCCGCUGUCUCCCUCCCUUCCUCUCUCUCUCUCUCUCUCUCUCUCUCUCUCUGUGUGUGUGUGUGUGUGUGUGUGUGUGGAGAGAGAGAGAGACCUUUCCAGACAGUGAUUGUAAAGUCAAGUCAAAAGAAGGAAGCUGUGAACUGCAGUGGAUCCAGGCGUGACUGACAACGAGUACUAGAAAUUCCAAAAGUUCAAAAUAGCAACUGGGCUGUCUCACUAUGUUUUCUUAUUAACAGGGGUGAGUAGGGGAAAAAAUGUCAGUAAUCGUACAUUAAUUUCAGAGUCAGAGCCAUCCUGGCUCUGUGAAUUCCACCUAUCACAUAGAAUUGAUUCUAGGAAACCCUUCUUUUUCCUCUGAUUUCGGUAUAUCAGUGGGUUAAAAUAUUCUACUCUUCUGUCUACCCAGAUGCGAAAACAAUAACCUCAAACUAGAGUGUCAGGUUGUUUGGGUAUUAGCUUUUCCGAAAGGGCAUCACUUUUGCUAGUACUCUUUCUGCCUUCUAUAGCUCUUUUUCUGUUGUGAACUGACACUGAAUUCUGUGAAGUUCGGACUGAUCUGGAAUUCUCCUUUGGAAUAAUUUCAUGUGGUAUUUUUGUCUGUUUAGCAUCUAUUAGCUCUGAUAUAUCUGCUCUGGUGUAUCUUGUCAAUAACAUACUUAUGUACACGGUUCUGAUUGUUUUAAUGUGCUAAAUUUCAGCCUUCGAGGCCCUGAAAAGCUGGGCUAAGAACCUGCAUUAAACGCUGCACCUGAGCUCAUCCUCAGACUCAUCGAUAUGAUUAAUUUGGAAGAGAGUGAGUUCACGUGAUAUUUUCCCCUUAUAUUACCUAUAAAUAAUAUUUGCUGCUCGGUUUUUAAAAUAUAUUAUAAACCCUGGUCUUUUAUCAUCUACUCUGUGUAUUUUUUAACAUUCCCAUAGAUUUUAUUUUAGCACGAGAGUGACCUCCAUGUUUUUAAAUGUUUUCAUAAAUGCUCUGCAGCUUUUUUUCCUCUUACUCAUCAACAUUCCUUGUCCAGAGGAAGGCAAAGAGGAUGAGAAAGAGAGAGAGAGUAGCAUCUGCUUCUUGAAAUAAACGAAAAAUCCUUGAAGGAAAAACUGACUUGCAAAAAAGAGGGAAUAGACAAGGGAACGGAAAUAACUGACUUGAACUGUAAUAAAUGAAACUGAAGUUUUAUGUUUUUCUUGACAAUCAACAUUUUAAUUAAAAAUUUUAAAGACUUUAAAGACAUGCAAUGCCCUUCAAGUAAUAGUCUUUAAGGUCUUCAGGCUGCUUGGAUCCCUCGUCAUGGAAUGAAUGAGCAGAAAUUCAGAGACAUCAUUUCAGGAAAAAAUGAUCCUAAGACUUGCGAGAGACUAAGAGUCUGUGUUUCUGACAAGGGACCCCAAGAACCGUGUGCUCUGCGUACUUUCCCCCAGGCUGGGCUCACGGGCGGAAACACUGUUCUCAGAAGUAGAGCUGAGGCACCGCAGGAAGAAGCGCAAGGGAGCUGGAGGGUUAGGAGGCAAGUGAAAGCUCUUCUGUCAUUAGCUAGAAGAGUUCUCAGGGAACUGUCAAAACCCAACCUGGGGCUGGUCUCUGGGAAACUACGACCACUUUAGAAAAUGGGAAAAUGUCUAGAGGUUGUUUCCAAACGUUAGUUCCCAACCCCUUUGCAUUCAUCGCUGAGAGCUCACAGAAGUAAUGGCUUCCACACUGGCGUGUUUCCUCCCUGUUGGCUUCUGGUGCUGUCCUUGCUUCUCGUGGCUCCCCUUGGGGCUCUGGCUCAGCCAGGGCCCCAGCGGCCUGACGUGCCCCAGUGUCAGCCCUGGCUCUCCUGUGUGGUUCUGCGUUGUGGCUUCACCCGCCCCUGGGUUGCCCAUCUGACCUCGUGCCCCAGCAUUCCUGUACUGUUCCCUGGCCCCCCUCCUUGAGAGAGGGGAUCCCUCCUUUGUUUCAUGAGAGAAGAUACGUGAUCAGCUCCGAUCCUCCCUUCCUGGUUCCUCCCCUCGUAAGAAUCACCAGCUUAACUCAGGGAUCUACUCUUGCCUGCAUUUCUGUGCUGCCAUGUUUGGUCACACUGCCCACUACGGCAUUCAUUCACUUCUUUAUUUUUUUUUAUUUUUUAAAUUAUGGUUGAUUUACAAUGUUCUGUCAAUUUCUGCUCUACGGUAAAGUGACCCACGUAUACAUACAUAUUCACUAUGGCAGGCCUUAACUUUUCAGGUCCCAUCUAUGUCAUGGAAAGUCAUAAGAAUUAUGUAAACCUGUCUGCCAUUCCCAGGCUCUAAUACAUUCAUGCAUGGUAUCAGUCAGCUGACAAAUUAACAUUAGAAAGCCAAUUACGUACUCAUAAUUGUGGCUCCUCAUAAUUGUGAUAGGCAAGGGAGGGCUUACAGGACAAAUACAUCAAUGUUGUUGGCUUUAAAGAGCUUAUUUUAAUAUUGUUGAGAGAGAAGUUAAGUUUGUGUGGAUGGACUGGUCCUUUUCUAUGAAACACGCAGUGCUCCACUGCAGCACAGGACUAGAGAAAAACUCCCAGGAGGAGCUGUGACCUAGGGGACUACAGUUUGGACUCUGACAUUUUCCCGGUUGACGUUGUUGUCUUCUUAUGCGUUGCUUCUGAUGCUUUAUUGUGUGUCACACCUUCAUUUCCUCCAGGCCAAUCAAAUAGCAACAAUCUCUUCUCGUGUUCACUGUAUUUAGCAUGAUAGGGAAUAUAUAGAUUUUUCACUCUCAAAUGUGUUAUUAAAUCACAGGUAGAAUAAAAUAUUAAUAAACAACAAUAAAUUCUAACAUCUUGGGAGGUGAUUUACUAGGGAUGGUACUGUCUGGUGUAGAGGGGAGAGGGCAGAGUUUUGCAGAAAAAGUGAGUUUCAGGAGGAUUGUGAGUCAUGAAUAACACGUGGUAAUCCAGGACAGUUCUUCCCUUUGCUCUUCUGGGCUCUAGCAGGAAAGAAAAAUUUUUGGAUUCUAAGGGUACUUGCAAAAGGAAAAAAGAAACAUAAUCCGUGUUAAAAUGUCCCAUAUCUUCCAUUUACCCAGAACCUUCUCUAGGCUGGAAACCCUGUGCAGCCCUGCACGAACCUCCUUCCCUCUCCCUGGCCAGUGACCUUUCGGCCAUGUGCUGUUGGGGGUCAUCUUGUUUUCCAGCAUUUUGGAACCCGUCAAUGUGAAUGACGUUCUCCACUGACGAACAGACAACAAUGGAGACAACCAAGUCUUUUCUCAUUUUAUGCCUCCCCCGCAUGUCCCAGACGCAAAGGAAAAUUCACCUCAAAUUUCUCCUCAGAAGCUCUUGCCUGCUUCACAACUGACUUGUAGCUAGUGAGCACUAAAUAACACUUUAUCUCUUCCUGGAUUAGGUUUCCAGUCCUGCCUCUCCAAAAAAACU
rnacentral:lncRNA from 1 species